ACUUAUGGACCUCUUGUUUCAGCCAUCAGUGCUACACCUGAAUUCAAACUUACCGUCAGCAACAAGCUGCCAAGUAGUAAGAAGAAUAGGACUGGGCUUAUUGUGGGAAUUGUUGUUGGUUGUGGAGUUUUAAUUCUGGUGGUGCUGCUUUUAUAUAUUGUUCAAGGAAGAAAGAGGCACAACACUGAUGAUGACUAUGAUGAAGAGCUGUUGGGAAUAGAUCUUGGACCUCUCACUUUCAGUUUUUCUGAACUGAAGGCAGCUACAAAUGACUUUAGUCUAGAUAAUAAGCUUGGAGAGGGAGGAUUUGGGCCCGUCUUCAAAGCCUCAUACUAGCAGUCUCGUGAAUGCCUUCAGAAGGAACUUGAAGGAUGCUGGUUUGAUCAUAUCCCAGAGGUCAUGAGAAAUGAAUGGGCAAGCUGUAAAGCAGGCGUAUGUUAAGAACUCCUUGUUUCCAC